AUUGAACGCUGGCGGCAGGCCUAACACAUGCAAGUCGAGCGGUAGAGAGGUGCUUGCAUCUCUUGAGAGCGGCGGACGGGUGAGUAAUGCCUAGGAAUCUGCCUAGUGGUGGGGGAUAACGUUCGGAAACGGACGCUAAUACCGCAUACGUCCUACGGGAGAAAGUGGGGGAUCUUCGGACCUCGCGCCAUUAGAUGAGCCUAGGUCGGAUUAGCUAGUUGGUGAGGUAAUGGCUCACCAAGGCGACGAUCCGUAACUGGUCUGAGAGGAUGAUCAGUCACACUGGAACUGAGACACGGUCCAGACUCCUACGGGAGGCAGCAGUGGGGAAUAUUGGACAAUGGGCGAAAGCCUGAUCCAGCCAUGCCGCGUGUGUGAAGAAGGGUCUUCGGAUUGUAAAGNACUUUAAGUUGGGAGGAAGGGUAGUAACCUAAUACGUUGCUACUUUGACGUUACGAC
rnacentral:rRNA from 1 species